rnacentral:rRNA from 1 species
AUGUGUGUGAUUAUGCAGGUUAUUCUUACUGAUGGUGAUGCAUCUACACUAACAAACAUGAAGGCAAACAUGGAAAUGAAUAACUUAUACAUUGAGGAUUUUCAACUAGUAAAAGAAAGCAAGAAUAAGGUAGAGUGCAAAUAUCUUUCCUGGGAAGAAGCGUGUGAAAGCGAUUUAAGAGACUACCAGAGAGACAUAGUUCUUGGUGCAGACAUUAUAUACAACCCGUCCUGCGUGCCCCACCUGGUACGAGUACUUUGUAUGCUACUUAGAGGUGAUGAUGGACGACGUGAAAGUGUCAAUGCGGCAACCAACGGAGAAAUUGGUGACGAAGUAUCUGGGACCACUGCAGCCGGAGGUCCUGUGGCCUAUAUCGCCACGGUUAUUCGGAAUGCAGACACUUUCAAUUGCUUUGCCAAGGCGGCUGCUGAUGCCAAGUUGUCUGUUGUCGACAUUACCAGCAGCGCGGCCGUCCAGUUUUCUUCCUUACAUGAUCUCAUAUGA